CACGUAGGGCGCAAGCGUUGUCCGGAAUUAUUGGGCGUAAAGAGCUCGUAGGCGGUCUGUUGCGUCCGCUGUGAAAACUCGGGGCUUAACCCCGAGCCUGCAGUGGAUACGGGCAGACUAGAGGUAGGUAGGGGAGAAUGGAAUUCCCGGUGUAGCGGUGAAAUGCGCAGAUAUCGGGAGGAACACCGGUGGCGAAGGCGGUUCUCUGGGCCUUACCCUGACGCUGAGGAGCGAAAGC
rnacentral:rRNA from 1 species